AAAAAGAAAAAGAAAUUGAAAAUGGUAUCCGUUGAGAAAAACAGAGAGAGUUUGCCCAUAUACUAUACUUCACACCGACCCAAAACCCACGAUUUUAUUUAUUUAUUUAUUUAUUUUUGUUUUUAUUUUUAUAUUUAAAAAAAAAAAAGAAAAAAAAGAAAGCGUCUAUGAAGAAAAAUAAAAAUUGGAAUCGACGGCCGGCUACGCGCUUCUCGCGUGAGAUCCCACGUGCUUUGAACUCCAUUCCAUGAAUAACCGGCCAACCAUCCACGUGAACCCCUCUCCGUUUGUGAGUUUUCCCUUCUCCCCACCCAGCCAGCCAGACCGCAGUUUUCCCGCUACUCACCGACCCCACCCCCCCCCCUCCCUUCACCGCACCCUUUCUUUUGGGCCGAAGCCAUAGCCGAAUCAUCCCAGCCCCUUCCGACACUCUAUCCAAACCAUCAUGACCCAACCCCCCUCCUUCCGGUCCCGGCCCGCUUCCUUUUCGGUUCUCUACCCCUUAUCCCUUUCCCAUCCCCAUCCCCAUCCCCGGCCGACUCGCUCUUCAUCGCCGACGCUCCCUUCUUUUUUAUCCCUUUCUUCUUCUUCUCUCUCUUUCCUUCUCUCCCCAUUCCUCAUGGGUGAUCACCGAUUCUCACACCCCUUCCUCUGCUAACUCUCGCCAAGUUCCAUUCGUGAGGAUUGUUGGAGCGAGGACGCUACUUCCACUCUCAUCGACGCUUGGGGUCGCCGUUUUCUCGACCUUAAUCGUGGAAAUCUCCGUCAGAAGGACUGGCAAGACGUUGCCGAUUCUGUUAACUCUCUCCACGGUCUUACCAAGAAGACCCAUCGCACCGAUGUUCAGUGCAAGAACCGGAUCGAUACCGUUAAGAAGAAGUACAAGACCGAGAGGGCUAGGGUUUCUGCUUCCCAUGGAAAUUUUCUUUCCUCUUGGCCUUUUUAUGCUCGUCUUGAUGAACUCAUUGGUCCUACUGUUUCCAUGAAGAAACCCUCUUCUCCUCCUUUGGCUCUUCCUUUGCCCUUCCGUAAGACUCCUCCUCCUUCCGCUGCUGCUUCUUCUGCUAUUGUCGCUGUCUCUCAGAAGCGACCUGCUGUUGCGAUGGAAGAUGUGUCUUUUCGGAGGAAUUACUCGGCUGCUGCCGCUGCUGCGCUGCGGUUGCAUUGUCGGAGGAGGAGGAGGAAAGAAGAAGAGGAGGAGGAGAGAGUGAGCGACGAUGACGAGGCGGAAGGUGAGGCAUGAGUAGGUUGGCAAGAGCGAUUAAAAGAUUUGGGGAAGUCUAUGAAAGAGUGGAAGCUGAGAAAGUGCGACAAAUGGUGGAAUUGGAGAAGCAGAGGAUGCAAUUUGCUAAGGAUUUGGAGCUGCAGCGGAUGCAUAUGUUCAUGGAGACCCAGGUUCAGCUUGAGAGGAUUAAGCGAGGGAAGAAAUCAACUCCCAGUGGUAAGGCUAAGCGAACUUUCUCCUCUCUUUUCCCAUUGAAAUCGCUUUUUCGUUUCGCAUGAAGUGGAAGUUCGAUCUCUUGCAGCUUCAAUCAUCUUUUUUUUUCGAGCGUCUUCUGUGCUGAUUGUUGCAGUAGAGUUAUUUGGUCUGAUUGUUUGCUAGAUAUCGUGGUUUUGAGAUCCAUGGAGCAGAAAGAUUUCCCAAGAUUUUUCAGAACUUUGAAAUAAACUACUAAUUUAACUUUGUAUGGUCAUAUUUCAAUCUUAUAUUAGAGAUAUUAGUGAACUUUUUAUGUUCUUUUUCUUUCUAGGGAAUCCUCCAGAUAAAGUUUUACAUUCUAAACACUAUAAAUUAUUAAAAACCAGUUCCGUAACUUUGUAACUUUCUUGAUUCCGAGAUGAGGGUUACUUAGAUAUAUAUAACAAUUUAUAAGUUACUAAAACGAAAAGGAAUCUUCUAUUUCAAAAAAAAAAUAAAACUAAAAGGAAUCUUGGUCGUUCUUUGUGGUUGUGUGGGGGGUGGGGGGGGGGGGGGGUGGGUACUUGCGGUUUCUAAGGUUGGAUACAAUUUGGCUGUAUUAUGUAAUCAAUGCCUUAUGUUUUGCUUGUUUAGAGACUUGAAAAUGGACCUACGAAAUGAUUCUUUAUUUUUACUGGUGCUGGUGCUAUGUAAAUACAAUAUAGAAAGGUUAUAUUUGAAUAUGGGUUGUAACGAAGUGGUAUAGCCUUGGUUAUAAUGCAUUGCUACGUGACCAACUCAUAAUGAUUUAGAGAAAUAUGUGAAGACUCUAGAGAUUUUGACAAUGUCUUAUAACCCAUUUUUGGUUUUUGAAAAUUAAGCUUAUAUAACACUACUCUCACCUUUGAGUUCCUUUGUUUUUUGUUUCAUUGUCUAUCACGGUUUUGGAAAACCAUGCAAAGAAAAGGUAGUUUUUUUCCCCUUUUUUUCUUUUCUUUUCUUUUUUCUUUUUUUCUUUUUUCUUUUGACAUAAAGGUUCAACUAUUUCUUUAAGAGAAGGGAAAAACCCUGAGGUGGGCACAAAUUUUUUUUCUUUGUUUGAGCGAACAACUAUUUGUACAUUACGGUUAAAUUGACAUAUAAUUAUGUCUCUUAUAGCCCCCUGGGUGAGGGUCUGACACACACGUAGACAUGGGGGACGGGGGGGCUGUGAGAAUUACCAUUACCGUUUUAUGCGGAUGAUGAGUGGAGAGGGUGGGGUAUCUUUUGGCAAUUAUCUUGUAAUUGAUCUCUUUUGAGAAUUUGGGAGAGAUUGGUAUUCUCUUGUAUACGUCCCUGAUUUUAAAAAAUAAAAUUGAAGUUGAGGCUAAGGACUCUGAAUUUCAUUUAUAGUCUACCAAUUAGUGAUUACUUUAUCUCAAUCACUUUUCUUGGAGAGAAUUAGGUCCCUGACAUGCAAGGUUGUUCUGCAUAUUAAAGCCAAAAAGUAAUGCAAUUCUUCAGGUUUGAGGUGAACACGUUUUGGUAUAUGUAUCAUCUGAAAAUCUGAAUUGCAGAAAGAAUCAUAGCGUAGAGAUGGUAGAGAAUUGUGUUAGGUUGAGGAUAAUUGUUGUACAGUUGAGUAGCUUGAAGAAGAUACAUUCAUAGGUUCAUAUGUUGGUUACAGAGGAAACAACCACCAAUCUAAAGAGUUGUACAUAACUGGAAAUUAAAACAAAAAUCCAAUUGCGUGUGAACCACUGAGCCCCCAACUGUUUCUCGUUUCAGUGAUAAGAAAAAACAAUGAUCUUAAAAAUUAGAACUAUACAUUUCUGUAUACAUCAUAGCCAGAAUAUGGUGUUGGGGAGGUAUUUGGAAGGAAGAGUUAUAGCCUGAUAAAACUUCUCCGGGUGGAGAACUUUCGACAGUUUAAUAUAUAGAUUUUUCAAUAAUUCUGAACAAAAUCCCUCAGACAUUUUUUCCGUGUUCCAAACAGAGAAUGUGUGCCUUGGAACAGUGUUUUUAUUUAUUUUUGUGCUUUUAAGAACAUUGGAUAUAGAACUGAUGCUAGGUAUCAAGAAACUGGUCAAGUAAAGCCAAAUUCUGCUUUAAUUUUAUCUGGGUAAACUGCUAUUAGUCAUUUGAUAGUUAGCACCAGCAGUUAAGUCUCUACAUCAUCACUUUUUUUUGCAAAAUGUUAGGUUGAACUUAGGCUUCACUUUCCCUAGCUGUGGUGUCUCCCAUGACCAAUGGGAAGGCGUGAAGAUUUUAGAUUUGGAAAUUACAAUGACUUUUUGAGCUUAGAUUACUGGACUAUCUCCUUCGGCUAAUUUAGUUAUUUGAUUCAUUUUUUUUAAUUGGCUAUUUUCCCAGGAUUAGAAAAUUUGUUCUCACGUUUCAAUGUUGCUUCUAGCAUGACUAUGUUUGGCCUCGGAAUGUUUGGGAGGAUGUCUCCAAGGUCUUUGACGCAAGCCUCUAGGCGGAAAGCUGGAGGAAUAAUUUGAAGUGCAUGAUGUCUUCUUGUUGAUUAUUGCUGUGGGGGGUGGCUCUAACUGUUAUCAUUGGUAUCAAAAGGAAAAAGGGGAAAAGGGUACUUGGUGGAUAAUUCCUUGCUCAAGAUUAUACCAUUGGAUCGUGUAGUUUUAUAUCAGUUUGUUUCCUCUGAAGAUUAUGAAACCAGCUCUCUGCCUCAUUAAUGAUGUCACGUGACAUACUUCCGCUCUAGUCUUGUUUUGUAGUGUACUUUGGUGUAACUAAUUUAAUUCAAGUUCUUCAAGAAUAUAAGAUUUUAUAUUUUCGAGAAUUGCUAAUGUAUAUUGUUUCUUGAAAACCUCUUCUACUGUCAAAUUUGCUAGUCAUAUCUCCAGGAAAACUGCCUUUCUAAUCUAUCUUGCUUUUCCAAAUAUUCUUGAGAACUGAACAUUCGAAGAUGGCAAAACAUGACCAUUCAUAAUCAGUCGUGCGUUUCAAGUCAAAUGUUUGUGAAUCUUAGAAAGACAUUUCUUUUUCUGAUGCAGAUAUGUAGAGGGUAGCCGUGUGAGAAGGGAUAACAUAAAAACAUCGUAAGGUAAAUACAAAUGGAAGCUUCUGAUAUUGUGGAGCAGAUGAUGAACACCUCUAAUUUUAAAUAUCACAAAUGAGUUGGAAUUUAAUUUUAUGAAGUUAGCCAAGGCUAACAACCCCUUCCGCACUCCUUGUAGGGAAGUUGGGCAAACUGCUAAUCUAAGACGAACCAUAUUAUCUUCUACUAUUAAGAAUUAGCUUGGUGUAAUUCAGCUUCUUUAAAUAUCUAAAUGCCACCAUUUUACAGAUUUGGUUGGUGUAACUAAUCUUGUAUGAAUGUUGCUUUUGUGGUGGUAAGUUAAGUAUGAAGUUCUCUCAUCUUCUUCUCAUGUGUCGUGAUGGUUAGUGCUCUGGUGAGAAUCUAAACUUAGUUUUUUAUUUUUUUGGGUGGGGGAGAUGUUUUUAAGUGUUGUAUUUAUUUAUAGUGAUUGUUCCGAUGGAUUUCAUCGCCUAACUUCGAACCAAAUAAUUUAUGUUUCUGAACUAGUCUAAGUGGCAAAACUGGUCUAGAUCAAGCACUUUAAGGCCAGCUUGAUAAUGUCUUUUGUUUUGUUUCUUUUUUUUUUUUUUAACAAAUAGACUUGUUUGACAACUAUUUUAAACUAUUUUAGAGAAAAAAUUAAAUUAAAUUUCGCUAACUAUAUAGUUAGAGCAAAAUUUCAUUUUAAUUUAUUCUAUUGUAUGUCUCUCAUAAAACAAAAACUUGACUUGUUCUAAUCAACUAAUCAAUACGAAUUAAAUGGAUGAGAAACAUGCAAAUUUUGUUUUGUAUCAAUUGCAUUAAGUUCUAGGUUAAGUUAGGUUGAAUAGCUAAUUUUUAAGUGCUUAACUAAAUAUUCACGUGAAUCAGUUAGGUUGAAUAGCUAAUUUUUAAGUGCUCAACUAAAUAUUCACGUGAUUCAAUUUUAAGUUGAUUCAUGUUAAUUUGAAACCCAUCCUAAUUUAUUGCUUUAAAUGGAUUAACGUAGAAGCAAAUUUCACAUAUUAUUUAUUAGUAACGAAAGCUAUAAUCAUGUAAUCCUCAAGACACGAUAAUAUGAAACUCUUCGAUCAAAACGAAAUUGAAUCAACAACUACAAGUGCACGAAAAUAUGUAUUAGCAAUGAUCAACCUUCGGUUUUCCUAUACUUCAUGAUUGAGAUCAGUUUGAAUAUUUACUAAAUUGACCAUAGUUGAUUUAUUUUGACCGAUUGAUACUCAACCCUAUUUAAACUUACAUUCUAUAAUGAAAAAUAUUUUAGAUUGAGAUAAUUGUAAACAACUAUUUAUAAGGAACUAGUAGUUAAGAUAAUUGAGAUAGGUGUAAGGAGAAGCAAAAGAGGGGUUGUUGAAAUCUUUGAAGUCCUAACAUGUAAUUGGAAAAGAAAAAUAGAACCGUUGUAUACUAUUUUUCCGUUGAAAAAAAAUAAGAUGUCACAUAUAAGCAAUGGCCAAAGUAGGAUUGUAUAUUAUAUUUGUUUAUUGAGAAGAAACAAAAAUGAAAGAAGGCGAGGUGGAGAAUCAAAAUAAGAUGCUUUACAAGAAGAUCCAAAAAAACCAAUUUAUGGUUAUUAUUAAACAAAGGUUUAUAUUCAAUAUUUAGGUAAUAAACGAAAUGAGAUAGAGAAUUAAAAAGAAAAAAGCAAUUGGCGCUGACCCUUCAAAAUGGUUUCCGUUAAGAAAAAUAAAGAGAGAGAGAGAGAGAGAGAGAGAGAGGGCAUCCACCGGACCACAAAACGGACGAUCUAACAUAACCCAAAAUAAAAGCCAAAAUGCGGAUAUACAAAUAAAACUAUCGUCAACGGCCGGCCACGCGCCUUCCCAUCAUGAGAUCCCACGUGGUUUGAAAUUCAUGAGUAACCGGCCAAACCAUCCCCACGUGAACCCUCUCCGUUUGUGCAAAUUCCCCCCUCUGGCUACCCACGCCGCACUCUUUCCCUAGUCAGCGACCCCACACCCCCCCUCCCUCUCUUCACCGAAUUUGGCCGAAGCCGUAGCCGAAUCCGAGCCCCUUCCGACACUCUAACCAAACCAUCAUGACCCAACCCCCACCCCCCCCUCCUCUCUCCUUCCGGUUCCGGCCCGCUACCUUUUCGGUUCCCUAUCCCUAUCCCCAUCCCCUAUCCCAUCCCCGGCGAUAUCAUCGCCUCGACCGCUUCACUCGCCGACGCUCCCUUUUUCUUUUAUCCUCCCCCAUCUUCUUCUUCUCUCUUUCUCUUCUCUUUCUCUUCCCAUUUCUCAUGGGUGAUCUAACCGAUUCCCUCACCCCUUCCUCUGCUAACUCUCGCCAACUUCCUAUUCGUGAGGAUUGUUGGAGCGAGGACGCUACUUCCACUCUCAUCGACGCUUGGGGUCGCCGUUUUCUCGACCUUAAUCGUGGAAAUCUCCGUCAGAAGGACUGGCAAGACGUUGCCGAUUCUGUUAACUCUCUCCACGGUCUUACCAAGAAGACCCAUCGCACCGAUGUUCAGUGCAAGAACCGGAUCGAUACCGUUAAGAAGAAGUAUAAGACCGAGAGGGCUAGGGUUUCU
rnacentral:lncRNA from 1 species